rnacentral:misc_RNA from 1 species
UGGAGACAUGGUUCCUGUGUGU